AUGGAAGCAAAACUAACUGCUUUAGACACAGCCAUUGUUGAGGCAGAAUGGCUGCAUGAGCUCUUGAUAGACUUGCAUGUGGUUGAAAAACCUGUACCGGCUAUUCUUAUGAAUUGUGACAACCAAACGGUUAUCGAUAAAGUGAACAAUUCUAAGGAUAAUGCAAAGUCAUCAAGACACAUGAAGAGACAUUUAAAGUCUGUCAGGAAGUUGAGAAACUCCGGAGUAAUAACUGUUACGUAUGUUCAAACAAAUAAAAAUCUGGCAGAUCCCUUUACAAAGGUGCUAUCACGAAAUGUGAUAGAUAUUGCGUCAAGGGAGAUGGGUUUGAGACCCAUAGAUGUUACACCAUAG
rnacentral:rRNA from 1 species